UCCAAGAGCAGCCAAUGAUUGUAGAGGUUCAGGAGAGGUGGCCUACACUCUUUUUUCAAGAACAGAUCUGUGAGGAAUUUUUCCGCAUCACCAACAAAGACCUUCUAGGAGUCUUCAUGGCAGCCACUGACAAGUACACACCAAAGCUUCUGAAAUUAUACAGAGCCAGAAAAGGAGCGUUUGGACAUGAAAUGGAAGAGCUCCUGGAAAGAAUUGAUGAAAGGGCAAGUUAAUAAUUUUCAUUAUUUACAUGUUUUUGAUCUAUGUAGUUGAUGAUAUUUCAGAUUUCAUUCUGUGACUUUUUGGUUGAAUCUUUUUUAUGUUUUUGCAGACAACAGAAAUUGUUAAUCACAGAAGGACUGCUGCUUUGGAGGGCCUGCCUUUGUUUCUUCGAGAGAAACAAACUAACCUUUUCAAGAAAUGUAAAGAAACUGAAGAUGGAACAAAGGGCGUAUCA